ACGUGAUAAUCACAAAACCAAUCAAGCUCUGAUACAAAGCUUCAUUCCAAAUUGGUUCAUUUCUUCGAUACAUGCCUCGAAGCAGGAGGUUCAUGGGUAACAUCACUACAGAGAAGUCGUUUCAAAAUC